rnacentral:rRNA from 1 species
AACGAACGCUGGCGGCAUGCCUAACACAUGCAAGUCGAACGAGACCUUCGGGUCUAGUGGCGCACGGGUGCGUAACGCGUGGGAACCUGCCCUUAGGUUCGGAAUAACUCCCCGAAAGGGGUGCUAAUACCGGAUAAUGUCUUCGGACCAAAGAUUUCUCGCCUUUGGAUGGGCCCGCGUUGGUUUAGCUAGUUGGUAGGGUAAAAGCCUACCAAGGCGACGAUCCAUAGCUGGUCUGAGAGGAUGAUCCGCCACACUGGGACUGAGACACGGCCCAGACUCCUACGGGAGGCAGCAGUGGGGAAUAUUGGACAAUGGGCGAAAGCCUGAUCCAGCAAUGCCGCGUGAGUGAUGAAGGCCUUAGGGUUGUAAAGCUCUUUUACCCGGGAUGAUAAUGACAGUACCGGGAGAAUAAGCUCCGGCUAACUCCGUG